GAAUAUUGGACAAUGGGCGCAAGCCUGAUCCAGCCAUGCCGCGUGAGUGAUGAAGGCCCUAGGGUUGUAAAGCUCUUUUGUGCGGGAAGAUAAUGACGGUACCGCAAGAAUAAGCCCCGGCUAACUUCGUGCCAGCAGCCGCGGUAAUU
rnacentral:rRNA from 1 species